rnacentral:rRNA from 1 species
UGGGGAAUAUUGGACAAUGGGGGAAACCCUGAUCCAGCCAUCCCGCGUGUGCGAUGAAGGCCUUCGGGUUGUAAAGCACUUUUGGCAGGAAAGAAACGUCAUGGGUUAAUACCCCGUGAAACUGACGGUACCUGCAGAAUAAGCACCGGCUAACUACGUGCCAGCAGCCGCGGUAAUACGUAGGGUGCAAGCGUUAAUCGGAAUUACUGGGCGUAAAGCGUGCGCAGGCGGUUCGGAAAGAAAGAUGUGAAAUCCCAGAGCUCAACUUUGGAACUGCAUUUUUAACUACCGGGCUAGAGUGUGUCAGAGGGAGGUGGAAUUCCGCGUGUAGCAGUGAAAUGCGUAGAUAUGCGGAGGAACACCGAUGGCGAAGGCAGCCUCCUGGGAUAACACUGACGCUCAUGCACGAAAGCGUGGGGAGCAAACAGG